rnacentral:vault_RNA from 1 species
GGGCCGGCUCUAGCCCAGCGGUUCCUUCGGUCUCUUCUGAUUCACGUUCCCCUGCCCAGCAGGGGUUCGAGCCCGCGGGCACUCCUGGCCCAUUU